AUUGAACGCUGGCGGCAGGCCUAACACAUGCAAGUCGGGCGGAUCGGCGGACGGGUGAGUAAUGCCUAGGUAUCUGCCUGUUCGUGGGGGCUAACGUCCGUUAACGGGCGCUAUUUCUGCAUCCUAUCACAUUAGCCUAGGUCGGAUUAGCUAGUUGGUGGGGUAAAGGCAUACCAGGGCGACGAUCCAUAACUGGUCCGAGAGGAUGAUCAGUCACACUGGGACUGAGACACGGUCCAGACUCCUACGGGAGGCAGCAGUGGGGAAUAUUGAACAAUGGGCGAAAGCCUGAUGCAGCCAUGCCGCGUGUAUGAAGAAGGGCUUCGGAUUGUAAAGGACUUUGAGUAGGGAGGCGUUACCGACAGAAUAAGCACCGGCUAACUUCGUGCCAGCCGCCGCGGUAAUUC
rnacentral:rRNA from 1 species